rnacentral:rRNA from 1 species
UACGGAGGGAGCUAGCGUUAUUCGGAAUUAUUGGGCGUAAAGGGCGCGUAGGCGGCCCGGUAAGUCAAAGGUGAAAUCCCUCGGCUCAACUGAGGAACUGCCUUUGAAACUGUCGGGCUUGAGGCCGGGAGGGGGUAGCGGAAUUCCCAGUGUAGCGGUGAAAUGCGUAGAUACUGGGAGGAACACCAGUGGCGAAGGCGGCUACCUGGACCGAGACUGACGCUGAGGCGCGAAGGCGUGGGGAGCGAACGGG